UUAGACCUCAAAUCAGGUAGGACUACCCGCUGAACUUAAGCAUAUCAAUAAGCGGAGGAAAAGAAACUAACAAGGAUUCCCCUAGUAGCGGCGAGCGAACCGGGAAGAGCUCAAAUUUAAAAUCUGGCGUCUUUCAGGCGUCCGAGUUGUAAUCUACAGAAGUGUUUUCCGUGCCGGACCGUGUCCAAGUCCCUUGGAAUAGGGUAUCAAAGAGGGUGACAAUCCCGUACUUGACACGACAACCGGUGCUCUGUGAUACAUUUUCUACGAGUCGAG
rnacentral:rRNA from 1 species